rnacentral:tRNA from 1 species
ACUAGAUUAGCAGAUAUAAUGUAUUCAGCUUAGGACUGAAAGGAAAUGGUUAAUUAUUUAGU